CCUACGGGUGGCAGCAGUGAGGAAUAUUGGUCAAUGGCCGAGAGGCUGAACCAGCCAAGUCGCGUGAGGGAAGACGGCCCUACGGGUUGUAAACCCCUUUUGUCGGGGAGCAAAGCGAACCACGUGUGGUUCAUUGAGAGUACCCGAAGAAAAAGCAUCGGCAAACACCGUGCCAGCAGCCGCGGUAAUACGGAGGAUGCGAGCGUUAGCCGGAUUUAUUGGGUUUAAAGGGGGGGCAGGCGGAGGUGUAAGUCAGCGGUAAAAUUGCGGGGCUCAACCCCGUACUGCCGUUGAAACUGCAUCACUUGAGUGCGCGAGAGGUAUGCGGAAUGCGUGGUGUAGCGGUGAAAUGCAUAGAUAUCACGCAGAACUCCGAUUGCGAAGGCGGCAUACCGGCGCGCAACUGACGCUCAUGCGCGAAAGCGUGGGUAUCGAACAGGAUUAGAUACCCGAGUAGUC
rnacentral:rRNA from 1 species